rnacentral:lncRNA from 1 species
GGUGCAUCUCUAUAGUUCCAACUGGCCUGGCCCCAUAACAACAGUGCAUAGUUGUUCCCUGGAGGCCUCAGUGUUUCUUUGUUAAAACCAGGACACUGAAGGCAACGAGUUGUUUUCCAGCUAUAACUUUUCAGAACUCUAUGUUUCUGAAUCUAUUGGUGUCCACACUGAUCUAGGACUUUACUAAUGGUUCAAUGCUUCUGCCUUCCAGGAAAAGUACCAAAAAAAGAUUGGAAUCUCAGGGUUAGGGGCUUUGCUGACCAGGCUUUCUUCUGUGGGUGACAGUUGAGCUCAAAUGAUUCACUUUAAGUAGUUAUUCAAAGGGCACAGGAAGCAGAUGGUUGGCUAGGAGUUUUAAGUCAGUGGCUUGGGAAAGAACUCUGGGGAAAAUUGAGGUAAAACUUGGGGAUAUUUCUGACUGAUUUAGAUGUGGCAUGCUUUGGUGCAAAUUCAAUUGAGGGGAGCUGGAGAUUUAGAUCAGUGGCACUGUGUCUCCAUUACAAGUGCAAGGUCCUGAGUUCGAUCCCUGCUACUGGAAAAAAAAAUUCAAUCGAGGAGAGGGUGUGGUAGUACACGACUGUCUGAAUGAUAACCCAGGUAUAUCUGAGGUUAGAAUACCAUUGGGUUUGCUAUCUUGUUUUAUUCUUUUUCAAUUUCUUUCCCUUUGUCUCUUCCUCCCCAUUUUCUCUCCUUAGACCAGCGGAUGGUAGUUUUAGCACCUAGCUCUAACUCCCUUGUGGUUCAGGGGUGUGUUCUCUGAUUUUAGUAUAGGCCUGCUGUCAUCACUGCUGAAUAUUGUACCCACAGCCUCUUCUGCCAGCAGCCAAGAUUGCUGCUGUCUUGUCUUCCUCUGAACUCACUGUAUUAUUGUAAGGUUUCAUAGCAGCAAGGAGAUGCUUGCAGUUGUCCGUUAUAUUUCCAUGGUUCUCCGGAACAGACACACUUCUGAGUGUGUCCAGUUGUUCUUACCGGAGAGGGUGCAGCUCUCGUGUGAGUACAGCAUUCAGACACAAUGCUCUGGUAUGGAGAGAGCUGGACCAUGGAGACAGGGCUGAAGACAGUCCUGCUUGGAUCCAAGGCUUUGAAAUCCCAGCUAGGGAGCCUGGCUUCCUACCCUUGGCCCUUGUGUUCCUGUGCUACUUCACUAUCAUAUCAAAGUUCUCCUUUUUUUUUGCUUACACUACCUCUAGCUGGCUUCUGAAACUGAUACCUACACAAGCUGUAAGGAGUGCCACGUCCACAAUAAAUGCAAACCUAUAUUUUAACAUUUAG